UACGUAGGGGGCUAGCGUUGUCCGGAAUCAUUGGGCGUGAAGAGCGUGUAGGCGGCCCGGUAAGUCCGCUGUGAAAGUCGGGGGCUCAACCCUCGAAUGCCGGUGGAUACUGUCGGGCUAGAGUGCGGAAGAGGCGAGUGGAAUUCCUGGUGUAGCGGUGAAAUGCGCAGAUAUCAGGAGGAACACCAAUUGCGAAGGCAGCUCGCUGGGACGUAACUGACGCUGAGACGCGAAAGCGUGGGGAGCAAACAGG
rnacentral:rRNA from 1 species